UAGGAUUAAACGUGUUCUCCACCCUGC
rnacentral:piRNA from 1 species